UUGUUAACCAAGCUACUGGUUACUUUUUGGUGCAUAUAAGAGUUUGUAGGCUGCCCUACAAAAGGGCUCUUCUUAGAAGUGUAAGAGAUUGCUUGACUGUGCUCCUGGAUAGGCUGUGGCAAGCCAAGCUCAACUGUGCCUAGAACUAAUUUUACAGACAUCAACAACCACUGUCAGUCCAACUGGAUGGGAAUAGCCAAUGUUGUCAUGUUUCAAAGGAGCCAGAGUCUGACUGAGCUG